CGGAGCUGAAAUCAGUCGAAGAUACCAGCUGGCUGCAACUGUUUAUUAAAAACACAGCACUGUGCAAACACGAAAGUGGACGUAUACGGUGUGACGCCUGCCCGGUGCCGGAAGGUUAAUUGAUGGGGUUAGCGGCAACGCGAAGCUCUUGAUCGAAGCCCCGGUAAACGGCGGCCGUAACUAUAACGGUCCUAAGGUAGCGAAAUUCCUUGUCGGGUAAGUUCCGACCUGCACGAAUGGCGUAAUGAUGGCCAGGCUGUCUCCACCCGAGACUCAGUGAAAUUGAACUCGCUGUGAAGAUGCAGUGUACCCGCGGCAAGACGGAAAGACCCCGUGAACCUUUACUAUAGCUUGACACUGAACACUGGUCCUUGAUGUGUAGGAUAGGUGGGAGGCUUUGAAGCGUGGACGCCAGUCUGCGUGGAGCCAUCCUUGAAAUACCACCCUUUAAUGGCUGGUGUUCUAACGUAGACCCGUAAUCCGGGUUGCGGACAGUGUCUGGUGGGUAGUUUGACUGGGGCGGUCUCCUCCCAAAGAGUAACGGAGGAGCACGAAGGUUGGCUAAUCCUGGUCGGACAUCAGGAGGUUAGUGCAAUGGCAUAAGCCAGCUUGACUGCGAGCGUGACGGCGCGAGCAGGUGCGAAAGCAGGUCAUAGUGAUCCGGUGGUUCUGAAUGGAAGGGCCAUCGCUCAACGGAUAAAAGGUACUCCGGGGAUAACAGGCUGAUACCGCCCAAGAGUUCAUAUCGACGGCGGUGUUUGGCACCUCGAUGUCGGCUCAUCACAUCCUGGGGCUGAAGUAGGUCCCAAGGGUAUGGCUGUUCGCCAUUUAAAGUGGUACGCGAGCUGGGUUUAGAACGUCGUGAGACAGUUCGGUCCCUAUCUGCCGUGGGCGCUGGAGAAUUGAGGGGGGCUGCUCCUAGUACGAGAGGACCGGAGUGGACGCAUCACUGGUGUUCGGGUUGUCAUGCCAAUGGCACUGCCCGGUAGCUAAAUGCGGAAGAGAUAAGUGCUGAAAGCAUCUAAGCACGAAACUUGCCCCGAGAUGAGUUCUCCCUGAGACUUUAAGUCUCCUGAAGGAACGUUGAAGACGACGACGUUGAUAGGUCGGGUGUGUAAGCGCAGCGAUGCGUUGAGCUAACCGAUACUAAUGAACCGUGAGGCUUAACCUUACAACGCCGAAG
rnacentral:rRNA from 1 species